UAUAUUGCGGAGAUAUCAAUAUAACAUUUUCAGCUGCGCAUUACAAUGUUCAAGAAAAUAUAACUACUUAUAAACCCUUAAUAUUACUUAAAAAUCCUAGAAACAUCUCUAAUACAAGUUCUUGUUAUAAUUAACAACAAUGCCAUUGUGGCGUCAUCAGUGGUCGGACAUUCUUUAGCAGUCAAGUCUAUUUUUUGACUCAACUCGUUGUUCACGCGGCUAAGUUACUCAGUUCUGGUUUUAAUAUUGUUAUGAUAGUGUGUCCCUGAGGAAUGCCAUCGUUAUCGAUGACCUCGCGAACUCGUCGGGCUCCGAAUUAUGGCUAUUCAUCGGCAAUUCAUGUUCUCCGAACCUGUUCCAGGCUGGCAUUUUACUAGCCUUUUACUAGCCCUUUACUCGCCUUAAGUAGAAAGCAUCCUGUACUGGAAAAACCCUGACCUCGAGGCCUUGCGCAUAUGUGACAUAUAUGGCUUGUUCAGUGUAUAUUGUGACGUCAUUCACGGCCGACGACAACGACGAACGAAAGAUCGUCGAACGUCUAUCUUGCUCAGGACACACACGAGAUCAAAAGCAUUCCAUCAGUUUAGUGAGCUUUGUCCUUCAUCGAACGCAGAUAUAGCAUGAAGAUGUAGAGCUAUGUGUAUUUACAAUUUACCAUGUAGAACAAAAUCGAUUAUUCUUAGAUUUUUCUCCUUACACAUCUAGAUUGCAUUAUCGUUCUUGUUUUUAAUGCCUUUUAUCUGAUCUUGGUUGAAACGUUCAUUAACCUAACAUCAAGCAAGGGGCACGCAAGCGAAGAGAAAACAAUCUUGUCGAUAUCAAUGUAUGCCGCAAACGUCCUAAAGUAGCAUAAAUAAUUUAAUUUCACCAACAACAAGAAGGAAAAAUUAAACAAAAAGUCAAUUACGCCCGUGGUGUGUGGGACAAGCUGAUAUUUGAGAUCAUUGUAACUUACGCAAAUUUACGUAAAGCUGUUUAUCCGAAUCUUAAAAAGCAUUAUAACACUAGAUUCUGUGACUAUGAUAACAAAGGCGUCACUCUAAAAACACACCAGCUUUGUCCCAGAAACAUUUAUCUUCGUGUCUGCGUUUAAUUUAAGAGCUGUUCCGAAAAGAGAGGUUGCCUUUAGCAUAUGCCCAAGGUUUGCGUUUAUUGAGACCCAGUGUCAUGUCUUUCAGGUAAGAACAUUUGUUGAUCUCUUGGAAUAAGAGGGCAGUCCCCUGUGCCUGCAUAUCAAACGAGUAGAUUACCUCGGAAUAGCUCCCAAUACUUGUAGCUACUUCUGUGCUGCGGAUUAAGCCAACUCCACCGUAAUCAAAAUAUCAAAAUAGGUGAGUCCUUUUAACCCUUUAACACUUUUUGCUCGGUUUAUUUACAAAAUGCUAUUUCUUAAAAUAUAGAGCUUUUAAAGUUGACUAUUAAAGUGCCCUUUAUUAUUCUGAGAAAUUGAGUAAUUAUUCUGUGUUGCAAUUUGACAGAUACCAUCUCAACUGAGCUUGUUGAUUUUUGAAGUAAAUUUGGUGCCUCUACCAGUACGUGGUAGUGAAUGUGCAUAUAGUUGGAUAAUAUCUGCAUCUCAUAAGAUUUCCGUUGAUUUCAAAGUCGUUAGUCACCUAUUCAUCUAUGACAGCUUUCAAACACUUUCUGUGAUGACCUUGUAAAAGUUUCAAAAGCUUAAUUUUCUACACGCCGCACAGAGUCUUCAACACAACCCAGACCUGAUCAAAAAUAUAAACCGUGCAACUUGCCAACAACUGACCAGCAUGGUUGCUAUGGUGAAAAUCGAUCAUGAAAUAAUAUUUACUAUAUUUUUAUCUUCAUGAUUUUAUAUUGUUAUUGUAGUUUUUUUAUUAUAUUUUUACCGCGCCAUUCUUGAGAUUACUUGUUUAGUUGUAAACGAUCGUGAUCUUGUAAUCCGGCGAUUACAAAACCAUUAAAAAAUUCAGUUAUGCGAAAUUUUUAGUGCUCCUGUAGGUUUUCUCUGCUAGGUGAAAAAAUUGAAUAAACAGCUUCGGUCGACGUUAUUAAAUGUCGCGACUAAAAUGGAUUUUCAUAAAAAGGUUCAACAUUGGAAGCCCUUCGGUUUUAAGUCUUUGGAGCGCAGUAACCAUCCUCAUCCGAGUCAUUGGCUCUAAAUUCGAUGUACCUCAACCUAAAAAAAUUGAAAACUUGGGUUUCAAAAUAAUACAGCAACGGAGGUUGUUAUAAGUGUUGGGGCGUCUAUCGUGACCAAAACUGACUCCGUGUUUGCCCGAUUCACUCCGCAGGCCAAGCGCUGUUGAAUUUUUGCCUUCCCUUACUCGUUAGACGCGGGGUGGGGAGAGAGAUAUGACGGCAUCAGUAUGUAAUGAUUAUCUCCUCCCUUUUAAGGCUGUUUUGACAAGUGUCCCGAUUACUUCUGACUGGAUUUAACUCAUCAGUGUCUUUUUGUUCAUGACAAUGUUUACUGACAAGUUUUUAGAGUUCUUCUAACUUCUGUAUUACAAGUGAGACCAUAUAACUGAAAUAAGUAACAAGGUUACUCUUAACAUAUGUACUCAUAUUUACAUGUAUACAAUGGCCCAUCGCCACUGCAGCUUAAUUUCGUAUUUCGCAUCUGAGAACUUAUAUAAGAAGUGGCAUAACUGUUUUCGUUGGCAUGGUUUAAAAAAUGGUCGAGUAUUUUAUAUGAAAAACGUAAGCAAAAACAUUGAAUUUGUUCUACACGGAGUCUUUUCGAGGGGGAAACAAGAAACUAGUCGUGGCACAAAUUAUUUAACAUUGUGUUAUUAAUAAUUAAAGACAAGCUUAUUCAUGACAAAUCUUAGUCGCGCAAUUAUAUUCAUCUACGCAUGUACUUAUCACUAAAAAAAUAUAUCCUGUGAUGAAACAGAAUUUCUUAUCUCUACAAACAUCUGCCACAUAGCUGCGGGAAUACUGAGGAAUAUCCACGAAGGCUAGAGAAAACAAAUUACGUGGACCUCACCCACGCAUCGCGCGUCCUUCUGAGCAAUCCAAGGAAAGGAAUCGUACAUCCGUGUUGGUGUGAAGGUAAACAAUGAUUUACACGAUAGCAUUUGUUUUGCAAUGAGAAUACUGAGCUUGUGAGCGGGUAGAGAAAGGUUUGCUAACGGAAAAUUUAUCGACUCAUUUUCACCAACCAAACUUUCUCUGGAGAGACCCUUACUGUGGCAUCGAACAAUGAUGUCAGCUAAGAAGCUUAAUCAUGGGCAAUUACAUAGACUUUGACAAAACAUUUAAAUAAAGAGCGUUUGGUACUCGUUUGAGAAAUAAGCCAAUUCUCACCCCGACGUUGAACCAUCUUCAGGGCCAAUAAGCUAGCGAUGACGGAAAUUACGUUUAAUUUCUCAGCGUUCACAUUUACAUAUUUUCCCAGCUGCUUGUGAUGGCACUACACUCAACUUUUGAAAUCACUGUUCCAUAGCAGCUUUCGAAAAAAACAAUGGGACACAUAGAACUAACGAUCAAGGUAGGAAUUUCUAAUGACAAAAAGGCCAAGUAAAUAGUAAGUAAGACAUCCAGCUACUCUAUACGCUAAGCGGACGGACUAACUGACUUAUUUUGGACCGAUGGACAUCGUUUCCUUGUAUUGGUUGUAUCACACUUUGAGAAUUACUUUGUUAGUCAGAGGUAAGCUUAUUCUCAUCUAAAACAUUUUGUGAUGAAUGUUUUUAAACACAAGAUAGUAUUUUGUAAGUUUGUUUCUUUGAUAAUCACGCUUUGUACGUGUUGCUAGUGGUCGUAGCCGCAAAAAAAAGCAAGCCGCUUUUUCAUAUCAAAAUUUACAAUUUUUUGUAACUUUUUCUGUCUAUUCUUAAUUUUGUAUUCAAUUUCUGUCGUUCUUUAGGGUCGACAGUCUCGACAUUUGGUUUAAACAUUUUUGGUUUGUAGCUCAGUGGCAAUUGUUAAUCGCACACAAGUAUAUGUAUAUAUAUUUGCAUUUGUACAAUGCCCUUAAUUAUUGUGGCUAAAAGAUCUUGUCAGGCACUAAGCAGAUAACGCGCCACGAAACCUAAAUGGAACGCGUUGUGUUUCAAGAAGUUUCUUGUUGGUAGGUUAAAGAAUAGCUGUGCUUGUUUUUCUCAACCAUGUAGCAAGUUUAAUAAUGCAGAACUGGUUGAAUGAAAAUUUUGACUCAGAGCAAAUAUGCUCUGAUAAAAGUAAAUCGACAAAUGUAUUCCAAUUGUAAAAUGAGACAUGCGAGUAGAAUUGUUCAUUGCUGCAAACAAUUCAACAAAUAAACACAAAUAGGAAAACUGAGCCAGUUUCUGUCCAAACUAUAAACAUUCACAGGGCUGUUGAACUCUUUCUACUCCUCCCCCUUUAAAAGUUAUUUAUAUUUCAUGCUGAUUUUUGCUGCUGCACACUUUGCGAACAUGUUAAUUUGGUAUUUUAAUAACGACAGGAUUUAUGGCAGCUGUCACUAAAUUUCAACUUGGCAGGCAUUCAAAUGGUUGAGGUGGUAGAAAACGGGGCAAUCAACUCUGAGAUACGAAAAUAUGAUGCAAAAUCGAUAAAUCAAUUAACUGUUUUCUGUCCUCAGAAUAAUAUUCCUAAUUAUUGAUACUCUCCCCGCAGUCUAAUCACUUAGAUUGCUAAUGAGGUCUGAGACUGAACAAACCGAAAUAUAUUUUGCAAGAAAAGAUUAAUUUACCUCAACAGAAGUGUGAAUCACAUUAAAGCUUGCUAUCCUUUCUGAUCAUAAAAACAUUCUAUUUUGUUUAUGCAAGAACUCAUGCCAGCAUGUUUCACUUGUUUCAAGACAACUUUAUUCGCUUAAAAAUAUGUAUGAUUGCUUGUCCUUGGCUAGUUAGCAAGCAAAAUGGGGCGAGCAGGAAACUAUCUUAUAAUCUUUGUAGACGACGAUCAGAGUAGUUUCUCUAUUUCAUUGACCCCUGCUUUUAGUAAACAACUUAACAUUCAAGAAGAAUCGAACGCAGCACCCAAGGUGAGAAAAGACAUUUUAAAAUGGAAUCUCCAAAUCUAUGUUAAUGUUGCGGACAAAAUUUGACGGAUGGUUAUCUCUUUCUCCUAAAGUGAUGGCAGAAAGUUGUGCGAGUGAGAAAAAAUUGGUAGUUGCUGAUCAAAAAAAAAAAAAAUUGAAUGUAUGUUCACCGGUUAUUUGCACUUUCUUCAGUAAUCAAUUUGAUCUUUCCUUUUGAGUCGUCUAUUCGCCAAUUUUAAUCAUUCAUUCCGUUCAUUUUCAAAGCGACAAAACCUUUGCGGUUUUACCGUCUAUUUUCUGUAUAUAGUCUCAGUUUAAGUUGCUAUUGAUAAGCUAGUUUUAAAUCUUCGUGACAACUGCUGAUGAAAUAUAUUAUACAUGUACUCGUCCUGUGCGAUCUAUUUGCUAAAGAAGGCAAUUUAACUAAGAAAAGAACCUUUUAAUUGCUCGAUUCUGAUUAUUCUGAAAAAAAAAUUCAACAAUUUUUGGAUUUUAAGUUUUAAAAUGAUAUCUUACCGCCUAAGGCUGUUAUAAAUAGUAUUUCCAUAUCCUAGAGCAAUUUUAUUCUUUACCUAAUUAAGGUUUUGCGUUUUUAUUGGGUGUGGCUAAUUCAGCCACUUCUUGCUAAUUUUACAAAGUCUUGCUAAAUUGGCCUAAUAUUGCAAUCUCGAAACACUAUGGUUACAAGAGGCCGAUAUCGUGAUCAAAUUAAUAUUUAAAAGAGCAACAUUUUGUGGCUUACACCCUGGUCAAGAUUUGAAACUGACAAACAUUGUUACUUGUACCUAAGGGUUUUAUUCAUCUUUUGUAAGUCGAUGUAACGCGUCGGAUAAUCCCGUUGUUGUGUAUUCGGGACGGACAUAACAAAAUGAUCGCCGAAGCUGAGACUUACCGCCGGAUAAAGAGAAUUUCCAUAAUUCAUAAAAGCGACUAAUUUAAUACUGUAAACAUUGACAGAUCGAAUUCUUAGCGAUGUUUUAUUUGAACACAAGGCACUCGAUGUUGACUGACAAAAAGAAAACAGCAGAAAAAUGACAACGGAAAAUUUCAUAGCUUUGCUUUGAACAGAGAUAGAGCUUACAUGUGAUGUAAUUUCACAAUGAAAUAAAUGGGGCAGUUUUGGGUAAUUCAAGGAAACGUACUAAUUACAAGUCUCUUCGGGGAUUCAGGAUAAAAAACACCGGAACUAAUUUACAACGUCGAUGAGUCAUUUUCUCUUAACCGCGUUCAAUUCUUCUAAUUUAGUUCAGAAAAAAUUGUUCUUUGUUUUGGUUUCAUCUGCACAUCACUUGGUGAAAGUUAACAGCGAAAUGCGAACACGUGAUAUGUUUUCAGGUAUCAAAACCCACUUGUGUGGCCGAUUACGUUCGCUGUUUUAAUAAGCCCCCUAAUAAUCUGCUGUCUUUCACUUUAAGACCGAAUUAAUGUAUGCACUGAUCGUUAGUUAUUGAAAACAAAGCACUUCGCAUGAAUUGCUGGCGGUGUUCGUCAGCAGAUGAAAGAGAUUUGUCCCGAAUAUCUGGAGCGCGGAAACUGCAGUGUCAAAUGUUUUGGCACCGUCUGCUAUUAAAAUAAUCAUUGUUGCCUUUGGAACGAGCAAACAGACGCUGGUGAAGCCUGAAAUUCUGAUCAGUGAAGGUAUUCUGCUUGUAUUUGUUUAGAAUCGUAGAACAUCUGUCUGUUAUGAAUGUAAUGAACAUUUUGUUGCUCGAAGAAAAUUACUCGAUUUGUUUUGGUCUCACCAACACAAGCCAGAACAACCGAUCUACACAGCUGUGAAGAGUAAGGUUUGUGGAAACCUUGCCGCUUCGGUCAGUGAAAUAGUUAUUUACGUUAGCGGAGAGAGUUUUCUUUGCAUGAUUAUUUUCUUGGAGGAAACAAUUUCAAAACCUUAAUUCCCUAACUUAACGUAAAUUUUACGGUUUUGGGUGUGGCAUAAGUAUUACUUUAUUGCGACAAUAGAGCGACUGGUGGUGCAUCUUGCCGACAUAAAGUUGUGAUGGUGAAGUUUGAAUUCUUUCUUGUUUGCUUUACGGGUGAGUAAAUGUUGGAGACUUGGUGUCAGCAAAACAAACGUGGAAGUCAGUAACACUGAAUUUGAUGAGACUUCUGAAAAAAAGUCCUUCCCAAAAUUAGAUCAGACAUUUAAGCGGCGAAAUGUUAGUAUGGAGUAAUUAUGUUUCGUAAUAAGACGAAAGAGUGCCGCAAAUCUCGAAGUAAAUUUGAAAACGUUUAUCGGUUAAAAUAAUCUGGCAUCUCUAGGAUUGUUAGCAAAUUUUGAAUGUGGUUGCUGCAAUAUGGCACGCUCAUUAAACAUUGUUACCAUGAGGCUGAAUUGCUCGGACGUCCUUGUGGCUAACAUGUUGUCAUUACUACUUUUUUGCAAUUUUUUUGAUUUCUGAUGAAAGGAGAUAAAGGGUUUCCACUUUGAAAGAUUUAGUAACUGCCAAUAUUUCUUUAGUGAUUUUUUUUAGUGGCCAUAGUCAUUUUAUCCCCUUCUACACCACAAGAUACAUGGAAUGAUGACUUUACAUGAUCAAUCUUUACAUCUUAUCUUUCCAGCCUUCAAGUGUUUAAGAUGAUAAACAACUCAACCGAUACAGAGUUCGUUUUCAACACCAGCGAUGGCAAUAUUGUUGCAGCAUUUUUUGUCGCUGUUCUGAUGCUGUUGACUCUAGUGGGAAACAUCAUGGUUUGCGCCUGUUUUUACUGUUACCGUGAUCUUAGAACAAUUUGCAAUUACUUUAUCAUUAGUUUAAGUGCGGCGGACAUCCUGGUGGCGCUGUUGGCGAUGCCGUUCUGGCUGGUAUUGCAGUUAACUGACAUGGAUGACAAAUCCAAGCAAGUAUUUUCAAACGAGUUAUACCUUUUCUGGAGCAGUAUUGACAUCCUCGUUGGAUCGGCGUCCAUUAUGAACCUUGUAGCAGUCAGUUUUGACCGUCACCUCGCAAUAACCGCUCCAUUUUCCUACAGCGAAUCGCUCACCUCGUUUCGAGCUAUUGUCAUGAUAGUUGCAUUGUGGGUUUUCUCUAUCCUACUCUGCGGUCUUCGACAGGCCUUUGACAAAAUGGGUAAAACCUUUGCGUAUCAGAUGGUAGUUGUGGUGGUAAGCUUCAUUGUUCCGCUGCUACUUAUGUUUGUUAUGUACAUGAAAAUCUACUUUGUAGCAAGAAAUCAAGCGCUCCGCAUCGGUCGAAACUACGCCAAAGACAUCAAAGCAACCAAGACCAUAGCAAUUGUUAUUGGAGCGUUUGUUGUAUGCUGGAUGCCUUUUUUUGUUAUAGUUAUUCUGUUUGCUUUUGAACCUAAUUAUGACAUGAAGACUGAGGCCUACAAAGCAAUCAAGUGGUUGGAAUACCUCAACUCGUGCUUGAAUCCUAUCAUCUACACCUGCUUGAACCGAACCUAUCGUCGCGCCUUCAAGAAACUUUUGCUUCGUUCAUCUUGCUGUUCAGGACAUGGGUCAUCGGACCGUCUUAAUUGCGUUCAGUCUACCCAAAUGUCGUUUCAUAAAACCAAAGCUGAAUCUCUUUCUCGCAGUUCAUCUUCGAUCUCCGAGAAUGGAAAUGUUUUCAUCCAGCGAGAAAACGGCAUAGAGGGUUCCAGUGUGUAAACCAUAUGUAACUGAAGGUCCAAGGCCUCACCGAGCAUUGUCUGGAACAUGCAUUUCUCGAACAUCAUUUGCCAUCUGCCCGAGUUGCCUUUUGAAAGAACUUUGCUACCAAGUAGACUUUGGCUGACUUUUGACAUUAUCCGCAGUUUCAUGAGCGCCAGCUUCGUGGCAUUAUGUAGUUUCAUAGCAUAACUGUAUCUGAUUUGCCCACAGGAUUGAUGUUAUAGCUCUUGACAGUUUAUAUAAACUUUACAUAACAUACUUUCAAGUGUAAUUUAGAACGAUUAAAUGUUAAAUAAGCACUAAUGAGUGCGAUUUAUAGUCUUAGGGGAAUUUAUGAGUGCUUAUUUACUCCACCCCCCUGAAUAGGAGGGUAUUCGGUGCUUCAUGAUCUGUCACAUGAGAGGAUGAAGGAUGAAAGAUUUAAUCCUCCAUACAUGCCUUAUUCUCAAGGUAAUUCCUCACUUAAAAUAAUUGCUAGACUUUUAAAGUUAUACUUAAGCUUUGUCGUUGCGUGAAACGUAGAAUAAAAGUUGGAAAACAUUCUUUAAACUCCGUUUCAAAUUCUUGGAGAAAAUAUUUCUUGAAAAACUGCAUUUUAAAGAAAACGAAUAGAAACGUUAAGAAACAAAAAAUAGCUGGUAUAAGUUAGUUAUUUAUCUUCUUGGCAGUUCUUAGCAUAAAUUCAAGAAACACUUAUCUUAAGUAUUAAAAAUUGUCGAAGCUAUCAUUUAUAUUGCCCAUUUAUAUUAAGUGUUGUGGUAAGGCAGAAAAAAGCCGUAUAGAGCAAAUGUAAUAAAACGAUAAUUCGCAAACAAUAAAAUAGGAUCCAGAACGAUACUUUAACUGGACUGCAAACAUGUCAGUGCGGUCUUCCCUUUGGCUAAGGGAAUGGGCGCAGUUUGGUUCAAAAUUUGUGGUCACUAAUAAUUGCAUAACAAAAGUAACCUGUUAUGUCCAGUACAUAGAUCGACUCUCUGUGUCAUGAUGUUUGCAAGAAACUGGAUAUUUCGAAUUUUUCAACAAUCGAUGCAACGUAAUCUUGGGAUCAAUCAUGCUAGACUUAACAAUUCGCGGAUGCAUGAAGUGAUCCUAUUUACGGAUACGAGUUUGAAAGACUGUUACACUUCCCCCACACAAAAGCAGCACACUACAUAACACUACACUAAUAAAUGGUUUACUCGCCCACCCUCCCUCUUCUCACACCCUCCAUAACAGUGAACUACAUGUAACAGUUAAAACACUGUCAGUGACAAAAGUCCUUUGCACCCCUUAUCAGUACAGCGGCAUUAACAAAAGCUCUACUCACCCUCCUCAUAAAAGUGCACUAUCAAAUGUUAUACUCAACCUAACCCAAAACAGUCUAACGUGUUUUGCCAUUUUUUUUUACAAAGGAUACGCCAAACGAAAUGUUAAAAUGUUCUCCUCGAAGUGAAAGGUUAUGUUAGUUUGCACGUCCAAAUACUGAGAGUUUCACGACAAUUUCUUCAGAUGACGGCCGGAAAUAAACCUCUAACAUUUAACUGUCAUGUUUUGGAAAAAAUCCAGCGGUCAGAGGGGCAAGGCACAUAACAAGAACAACAACAGCUAGGUUAAGCUAUUUGGAUGUUAAACUGUAGAAACUGUCUGGACUUUUGGAACCUUUUUGAGUCAAUGUUUUAGUUAUUUAAUUAGCAACAAGCAAGAACGUAAGAUUGCGAAAACUAAACAAAGAUAGGCUUUUCUUCGGUAAACAAACUGUGACGUUUUCCCAAACAAAUGGGUCACAAAAGAAAGUGGCGAGAUUUCAGUAAUGUUCGGAAACUUCUGUUUACUUGACCUUACAAGUUCUUGGGUAGUCAGGAAAAUAGAGACUGAUUCAUCAGUCUUAAGGAUUACUGUGGUAAAGACAGACCUCAGGAUAACUUGCAUUUUGUUAUCUCUGCCAAACUGUUUGGUUAAGAGAUGGAUCGCGUGUCUACAUGACGUAAUCCUGAAUUGGCAAUCACACUGUUUACGCAGGAUGUUUCAACUCACGUAGCAGAACUAUAAAAGCAACCUCCUCCGCUCUCUGUAAACUGAACAUAACUGCACUUUCCGGUGUUUUGGAGAAUUGUGAUUUGAUUUCCAUCUCAUUUGUAACGGAUUGUUUACAUGAGACCUCUGAGGAUUGAGGAGAAUGUGUGACCACUCGCCUUCAAGGUAAUGACCAUAGGUGGACCAACUCUUUUUCAUAUAAACACUAUAGCUAUAUAUA
rnacentral:misc_RNA from 1 species